AGCUUUGCACAGUGGCAGGAUUAUAGCCAAUAAGGCUUAUCCGAGGCAUGAUUAUUGCUAAUUAGACAGGGCCACAUGAUAGAGAACUGUAAAUGGAAUUGAGGAGCUGAGGGAAGGCUC
rnacentral:snRNA from 1 species